UGAAUUACAAUGGAUCGAUCGAUCUGUCUGAAGUGAUUUCAACACAUCAACAAAAGAACUCAAUCUCACAAAAGUGGUUUAUUUGCUUUUAUAAAUUUUUGUUUUGUUUUGCUUCUUCCUGCUCUUCAUUCUGAGACGACAAGACCAGCCUCAGGAAAUGUGUUCUGGAGGCUCCAUUACCUCUGGCUGAGAACCACUGCAGAACAGCCGAGGGGGCUGUGUUCACAUUCACCACAUGCUGUGACGUCACUUUAUACCCCGGGGAGAAGCGCAUGACUCCAGCUUGCCGAGCUCUGCAAAUCCUGCAGACCGAUUGCUUCAUUGAACUUUUUGUUUUGGCCUAAGAUGUGGACAUGUACCUCCAUCUGCAGACCUCUGAACUUACUGUUGACUGAAAAGCCCAACGGUCUUCUCCCCAG